AGGCCCCGCCUCUCCUGCCCGCCCUUCCCCCUGGUAAGAGCGCCGGGAGCUCUGCACUCGCUCCGCGGCCUCCUGAGACUUCCAGACCCAGAGAAGAGGGAGGCGGGACGGUUCUGGGGCGAGACACGCUAGCUGGCGGAAGCUGACCGUCCUCCACGCGGCCGCAGGCCCCCAGUUGCUACACCAAUCUUGACAGACCUCAAGGCUUAGAGACCAUGGAGAGAGAUCCACAUUUGGAGUGGGGAGUUUCAUACUGGCUGACUCAAAGUCGAUGGGAUGCUACAGGAUGGGAUGUUCCCACACUCCAGUCAUCUAGACUUUAACUCUUGAAGCAGAAGAAGACGUUGAGAUUUAAUCUGACUAAUCAUUAUUACCCAGCUGCCUUGGGACAAGCCAGUCCUUUGCAGGAGCCAAGCUCUUUGAUGUUUUUGUCAUAAAUUAAUAAGUUCACCCACAAAAUAACAUCAAAGAAGAUCUACUAACUAAUUCAUUGUUAUCAUCCUCCUGUCUGCGGCUAUCUUGGAAAGUCCCCAAAAAAAGGACCACAGCCAGAAAAAGAAACCAAGAUUUGGAAAUUAUGAUCUCUGGAAAGAGAUGAGAGAGAAAUUAAUUCCUGCAGACUGCAGAGGAGACAGGGAAAGAGCAAAUCUCAGAGAAAUGAAAAAGCUGGGGAGACGGAUUUUCAACAUGUGGGUCUGUAAGGAAAAUGAAUGCAUGAAAGCUUGAGGGGGAAACUGUGGUCUGGAAAGUCUUUAAUGGUGUGAUCUCAGAGCACAUUGUGGGGACUACAAGGAAGUAUGUGGUAGGAAACAGUGCCCCAGGAGUCAGAUGACGUGGAUUUCAGCCUCUGGCUCUAUUUACUAUGUGACCAUCAGCAAAUCGCAAUAUUUCUGAACUUCAGUUUUCUGAUCAGUAAAAUGGUGGCAAUAAUGCUCCCUCGCCUGAUAGGAUUCCUCCAAGUAUAGGCGGUUUUCUCUAGAUGUUACCUGACUCUUCCAAAUUUCGUAUUUCAAGAGGAAAACAGGAAAAGAUUUAUGGAGAUGCCUUGCUGGAGAUCUUCCCACAGCAACAUUUCUUCUAGGCCAAGCAAGAUUUCCUAAAACAGAGAACAGCAAUUGUGCUUCAUUUAACUCGGUGAGCAGCUACUGAAUACCCUACACCAGGCUGAAAAAAAAAAAAAAAAAAAACCACAGGGUAUUUCUAAUCCCUCAAGGACACCAAAAUGUUAAGUGGUGACUA